AUUGAACGCUGGCGGCGGGCCUAACACAUGCAAGUCGAGCGGAGCGGCGGACGAGGGAGUACUGCCUGGUGAUCUGCCUGUUGGUAGGGGAUCCAUUCCGGAAGCGGGCGCUAAUACCGCAUACUAUCAGAUGGCCCUAGGUCGGAUUAGCUGGUUGGUGGGGUAGAGGCCUACCAAGGCGACGAUCCGUAACUGGUCUGAGAGGAUGAUCAGUCACACUGGAACUGAGACACGGUCCAGACUCCGACGGGAGGCAGCAGUGGGGAAUAUUGGACAAGGGGCGAAAGUCUGAUCCAGCCAUGCCGCGUGUGUGAAGAAGGUCUUCGGAUCGUAAAGCACUUUAAGUUGGGAGGCGUUAUCUACAGAAUAAGCAACGGCUAACUUCGUGCCAGCAGCCGCGGUAAUUC
rnacentral:rRNA from 1 species